UACAGAGGGUGCGAGCGUUAAUCGGAAUUACUGGGCGUAAAGGGUGUGUAGGUGGUUAGGUAAGUUAGAUGUGAAAUCCCCGGGCUUAACCUGGGAACUGCGUUUAAAACUGCUUGGCUAGAGUAUUGCAGAGGAUAGUGGAAUUUCCAGUGUAGCGGUGAAAUGCGUAGAUAUUGGAAGGAACACCAGUGGCGAAGGCGACUAUCUGGGCAAAUACUGACACUGAGACACGAAAGCAUGGGGAGCAAACAGG
rnacentral:rRNA from 1 species